GCGACGAUGGUGUAAUGGUAGCACAUCCGACUGAACAAUGCGGAUGGCUCCGGUUCGAUUCUAGGUCGUCGCC